rnacentral:rRNA from 1 species
AUUGAACGCUGGCGGCAUGCCUUACACAUGCAAGUCGAACGGUAGAGGGGCAACCCUCGAGAGUGGCGAACGGGUGAGUAAUGCAUCGGAACGUGCCCAGUCGUGGGGGAUAACGUAGCGAAAGCUACGCUAAUACCGCAUACGACCCGAGGGUGAAAGCGGGGGACUCGCAAGGGCCUCGCGCGAUUGGAGCGGCCGAUGUCAGAUUAGGUAGUUGGUGGGGUAAAGGCCUACCAAGCCGACGAUCUGUAGCUGGUCUGAGAGGACGACCAGCCACACUGGGACUGAGACACGGCCCAGACUCCUACGGGAGGCAGCAGUGGGGAAUUUUGGACAAUGGGCGCAAGCCUGAUCCAGCCAUGCCGCGUGCGGGAAGAAGGCCUUCGGGUUGUAAACCGCUUUUGUCAGGGAAGAAAUCUUCUGGGUUAAUACUCGGGAGGAUGACGGUACCUGGAGAAUAAGCACCGGCUAACUACGUGCCAGCCGCCGCAGUAACAC